rnacentral:lncRNA from 1 species
GUUGCAUUUUAACGUUGAGUCGUUUGUGUUUUCUCUUAUUUUUGAGAUAUUGAGAUCAGACGUGGCACGGUACUUGUCUAUCCCUAAUUCAUGUAUUUGGUUUUCAUGUUAUAUUUGUUAUUCUCGUGGUGUUUUGUCUGAUGCUUGGUCCGUUUCUGUGUGUGUUACGUUUCGGUGUUAUGUCGUUGUUCUCUUAUAUUUAAUGCGUUUCCCUCGGUUUUAGUUUGUUACCCCGAUUUUGUUUUUUG